CCUACGGGUGGCAGCAGUGAGGAAUAUUGGUCAAUGGACGAGAGUCUGAACCAGCCAAGUAGCGUGAAGGAUGACUGCCCUAUGGGUUGUAAACUUCUUUUAUAUGGGAAUAAAACGUUCCACGUGUGGGAUUUUGUAUGUACCAUAUGAAUAAGGAUCGGCUAACUCCGUGCCAGCAGCCUCGGUAAUACGGAGGAUCCGAGCUUUAUCCGGAUUUAUUGGGUUUAAAGGGAGCGUAGGUAGAUUGUUAAGUCAGUUGUGAGAGUUUGCGGCUCAACCGUAAAAUUGCAGUUGAAACUGGCAGUCUUGAGUACAGUAGAGGUGGGCGGAAUUCAUGGUGUAGCGGUGAAAUGCUUAGAUAUCACGAAGAACUCCGAUUGCGAAGGCAGUUCACUGGACUGCAACUGACACUGAGGCUCGAAAGUGUGGGUAUCAAACAGGAUUAGAUACCCCAGUAGUC
rnacentral:rRNA from 1 species